CGAACGACAACUCAAAAAUCGUCAUCCAUCGAGAUAAUUUUAUCAGUCGACAUGUCAAAUUGUUCGAAUUCGGCGAAGGCUGGCAUCUACGAAAUUGUAUUCAGGGCAGUUGGCAGAAAGUAACGGGCCGAACAAUAUGCAAACCUUUACAAAAUGCUUACCGAGUUUUCGAAUGUUUCCUUAGUCCUGGGCUUCAGUUCAGUUAUCCAUAUCCCUCUCUGGGUCGGCUCGGUUCCGUGGAAAAUCGUCAAUUUAACAGCGUGUCAUUUCGGACGAACUGUCAAUCCUAUCUCGUCCAGAUAACCUCGCUCGCCUAUUUCACUUUUAUUAUCUCGGAGUGGCCGAGUUGGGCAAAAGCAGCGCGCCCUAUCGCCUUGGCGGGGGCCCGGCUCGUCCGUUUUCCGGAUCCGAGAUCAGGUGGCCACCGGCACCACAGAGGCACCGACCUGACCAGAAUAUUAGGAAAAGUGUAAGCCUGCAGUCAGGAUUGGGAUUUCGUCUGCCUUUUUUGCCAGUUUGCCAGAACCUAUAUGUCACAUUUACUUUUACGGGUCACAAAAAUUUUAAGGCCAAGCAUCCUUAUUACAGCCAUUGUGGUACCAAAAUAAUAUAAGCAGGCAGGAUUAGAGAAGCAUUACAGGCAUUUAUACCAGCCACUGGCCUGUUAACUUUCAUCUUAAGAAGAUGGGAAAAACUGAGACGUAAACGGCUUUGUCAGGAGGAAUCAGAAACAUUCACACAUAUCCUUUGUGUAAUGUAAUGCGUUAGCCUGUUUACAGUGCAGGGACUUUGGUAGAAAAUUUCCCAUACCAAAGGAGAUCCAGGAAGAGACACCAAGAAAAGUACUCAGUUUUAUAAGGAAUAGAGCACCUUCCAAGGUAAUUUCUUAAUGCUUUCAUUGCCAUCGACAACUGUACUACCAACCAACAAUUAUACUGCGGAUGUAUUUUUGGCCAAAACCUUUAUCCAAAUAUCUGCAAUGUUGACUUUGCAUGAGCUGAAUUUUUUUAGACCUUCAAGAUACUGAAUUCGAACAUCGGCUCGAAGAUAGUUCUGAAUUGCAUGGCCUAAACACGUUGGGAAUGCACCCUCCGCCGGAUUCCUGGACAGGAAUUGAGGGAAAUGCACAAGGAAUGCCAGGAAAGGACCGCUGACAGAGAUAAUUUUAGAAUACA